rnacentral:miRNA from 1 species
UAUACUUCCCGCCUACGGAACGG